rnacentral:misc_RNA from 1 species
CCGAGUUUACAACUCCCAAACCCCAAUGUGAACGUUACCACACUGUUGCCUCGGCGGGAUCGCCCCGGGCGCGUCGCAGCCCCGGACCCAGGCGCCCGCCGGAGGACCAAUAAACUCUAUUGUAUUUAUGUAUUUAACUUCUGAGCUUUCUCGGCGCUCCUAGCGAGCGUUACGAAAAUGAAUCA